AAUCGUUAAAACUUUCAACAACGGAUCUCUUGGUUCCAGCAUCGAUGAAGAACGCAGCGAAAUGCGAUAAGUAAUGUGAAUUGCAGAAUUCCGUGAAUCAUCGAAUCUUUGAACGCACAUUGCGCCCUCUGGUAUUCCGGAGGGCAUGCCUGUCCGAGCGUCAUUAC
rnacentral:rRNA from 1 species